rnacentral:rRNA from 1 species
AUUGAACGCUGGCGGCAGGCUUAACACAUGCAAGUCGAGCGGAGCGAGGGUGCUUGCACCUUAGCUUAGCGGCGGACGGGUGAGUAAUGCUUAGGAAUCUGCCUAUUAGUGGGGGACAACAUUCCGAAAGGAAUGCUAAUACCGCAUACGUCCUACGGGGGAAAGCAGGGGAUCUUCGGACCUUGCGCUAAUAGAUGAGCCUAAGUCGGAUUAGUUAGUUGGUGGGGGAAAGGCCUACCAAGGCGACGAUCUGUAGCGGGUCUGAGAGGAUGAUCCGCCACACUGGGACUGAGACACGGCCCAGACUCCUACGGGAGGCAGCAGUGGGGAAUAUUGGACAAUGGGCGGAAGCCUGAUCCAGCCAUGCCGCGUGUGUGAAGAAGGCCUUUUGGUUGUAAAGCACUUUAAGCGAGGAGGAGGCUACUAGUAUUAAUACUACUGGAUAGUGGACGUUACUCGCAGAAUAAGCACCGGCUAACUCUGUGCCAGCAGCCGCCGUAAAAC